rnacentral:misc_RNA from 1 species
UCCUUCUUAUCGAAGGCAGUUCUCGAAGAGUGCAUCCCUUGCGGGAUUAGCAACAUCGAGUAGGGGUUGCGCUCGUUGCGGGUCUUAACCCAACAUCUCACGACACGAGCUGACGACAACCAUGCAGCACCUCUGCGGACUCCCUUGCGGGUCAGCCACUGUUUCCAACAGCUUACCAUCCGUAGUUCAAGCCCAGGUAAGGUUCUUCGCGUUGCGUCGAAUUAAACCACAUGUUCCACCGCUUGUGCGGGCCCCCGUCAAUUCCUUUGAGUUUCAACCUUGCGGCCGUACUCCCCAGGCGGCUCAUUUAAUGCGUUAGCUACGACACUAAUUCCGUAAAAACAGAACUAACGUCCAGUGAUCAUCGUUUACAGCGUGGACUAC